rnacentral:rRNA from 1 species
AAAUUGAAGAGUUUGAUCAUGGCUCAGAUUGAACGCUGGCGGCAGGCCUAACACAUGCAAGUCGAACGGUAACAGGAAGCAGCUUGCUGCUUCGCUGACGAGUGGCGGACGGGUGAGUAAUGUCUGGGAAACUGCCUGAUGGAGGGGGAUAACUACUGGAAACGGUAGCUAAUACCGCAUAAUGUCGCAAGACCAAAGAGGGGGACCUUCGGGCCUCUUGCCAUCGGAUGUGCCCAGAUGGGAUUAGCUUGUUGGUGGGGUAACGGCUCACCAAGGCGACGAUCCCUAGCUGGUCUGAGAGGAUGACCAGCCACACUGGAACUGAGACACGGUCCAGACUCCUACGGGAGGCAGCAGUGGGGAAUAUUGCACAAUGGGCGCAAGCCUGAUGCAGCCAUGCCGCGUGUAUGAAGAAGGCCUUCGGGUUGUAAAGUACUUUCAGCGGGGAG